AAUCUUCCGCAAUGGACGAAAGUCUGACGGAGCAACGCCGCGUGAGUGAUGAAGGUCUUCGGAUCGUAAAACUCUGUUGUUAGGGAAGAACAAGUAUCGUUCGAAUAGGGCGGUACCUUGACGGUACCUAACCAGAAAGCCACGGCUAACUACGUGCCAGCAGCCGCGGUAAUACGUAGGUGGCAAGCGUUAUCCGGAAUUAUUGGGCGUAAAGCGCGCGCAGGCGGUUUCUUAAGUCUGAUGUGAAAGCCCACGGCUCAACCGUGGAGGGUCAUUGGAAACUGGGAAGCUUGAGUGCAGAAGAGGAGAGUGGAAUUCCAUGUGUAGCGGCGAAAUGCGUAGAUAUAGGAAGGAACACCAGUGGCGAAGGCGACCACCUGGGCUAAUACUGACACUGAGGUGCGAAAGCGUGGGGAGCAAACA
rnacentral:rRNA from 1 species